UGUUUCGGCUAGGGGGCCAUCCCGGCUUACCAACCCGAUGCAAACUGCGAAUACCGGAGAAUGUUAUCACGGGAGACACACGGCGGGUGCUAACGUCCGUCGUGAAGAGGGAAACAACCCAGACCGCCAGCUAAGGUCCCAAAGUCAUGGUUAAGUGGGAAACGAUGUGGGAAGGCCCAGACAGCCAGGAUGUUGGCUUAGAAGCAGCCAUCAUUUAAAGAAAGCGUAAUAGCUCACUGGUCGAGUCGGCCUGCGCGGAAGAUGUAACGGGGCUAAACCAUGCACCGAAGCUGCGGCAGCGAACGUAUCACUUAAAGCGAUUCAGCGGGUUACGAUUGACGGAGCGAAGCGACGUCAAAGCGUAUACAAAGUCGAGUCGGUUUAAGGAUACGUUCGUUGGGUAGGGGAGCGUUCUG
rnacentral:rRNA from 1 species